CCUACGGGGGGCUGCAGUGAGGAAUAUUGGUCAAUGGGCGGGAGCCUGAACCAGCCAAGUAGCGUGAGGGAAGAAGGUACUGAGUAUUGUAAACCUCUUUUGCCAGGGGACAAAGGCGGCCACGGGUGGCCGUAAGUGGGUACCUGGUGAAAAAGCAUCGGCUAACUCCGUGCCAGCAGCCGCGGUAAUACGGAGGAGGCGAGCGUUAUCCGGAUUUAUUGGGUUUAAAGGGUGCGAAGGCGGCUUGUUAAGUCAGCGGUAAAAUGUUGGGGCUCAACCCCAGAUGGCCGUUGAUACUGGCGGGCUCGAGUAGAGGUGAAGUAGGCGGAAUUCGUGGUGUAGCGGUGAAAUGCUUAGAUAUCACGAAGAACCCCGAUUGCGAAGGCAGCAUACCGGCUCCACACUGACGCUGAGGCACGAAAGCGUGGGUAUCGAACAGGAUUAGAUACCCUAGUAGUC
rnacentral:rRNA from 1 species